GUGUGCCCCCCCAAAAUUUUCUUGGGGGUGCCUCUCGUGCUUCUCCUUCAGCGCGUACUUGGCCUCGUACCACCGCCUCUCUGCCUUGGCUGCCUCAAUUUCCCCCUGCGGGCGUCGAUAAUCCCCAGCCUGAUGCCAGGGUCCGGCCCCGUCCAGAACUUCCUCCCAAGUCCACUUCUCCCGCCAGUCCAACUCGAACUCCGUCUGCUCCUUCCUCUGCUGCUUGGUCCUUUGGUGGUGGGUGAUUCUGUCAAGGUUGUUGUCGGUGAAUGAGGACCAAAACGCAGCAGUCGACAGGUACCAACUGGCAGCAGGGGGAUACAUGGUUGCAGCGACGGUACCAGCCGGCAGCAGGGGGAUACAUGGUUGCAGCGACGGUACCAGCCGGCAGCAGGGGGAUACAUGGUUGCAGCGAUGGUACCAGCCGGCAGCAGGGGGAUACAUGGUUGCAGCGACGGUACCAGCCGGCAGCAGGGGGAUACAUGGUUGCAGCGACGGUACCAGCCGGCAGCAGGGGGACACAUUAGAGUCAGACAGACAGAAUAAUCAAGUGAUAGCAAGUGUGCAGCUGCCCAACCCCAACACAGACCAGGGCAAAUGUACCUCCCUGUAGUAAGUCCUGGUUAUUAAAUCACUUACAGGCAGUGCCAGCCUCAUUAAACACCAUUCUGGGAGGAGAGAGACAGAGAGAGAAAGAGAAGGAGAGAGACAGAGAGAGAGAGAGAGCGAGACAGAGACAGAGACAGAGAGAUUUCAAACGUCUUUUUCUUUUGGAACUUUUGUGAGUGUAAUGUUUACAGUUCAUUUUUUUAUUGUUUAUUUAACUUUUGUUUAUGUUCUAUUUCACUUGCUUUGGCAAUGUUAACAUAUGUUUCCCAUGCCAAUAAAGCCCUUUGAAUUGAAUUGAAUUGAUAGAGGGAAAGUGUCACGUGUGCUCCCUCUCUGGCCUCUAGGUCACCAGGCUGCUCGUUAUGGCGCACACCUGUCACCUUCGUUACGCGCACCUGUGCAUCAUCAGACUCACCUGGACUCCAUCACCUCCCUGAUUACCUUCCCUAUAUAUGUCACUCCCUUUGGUUCCUUCCCCAGGCGUCAUUGUUUCAUGUCUUGGCGUUGUUCGUGUUUCUUGUUUUGUAUUAUGCUGCGUUUAUUUAUUAAAAC
rnacentral:lncRNA from 1 species